rnacentral:rRNA from 1 species
ACUCCUACGGGAGGCAGCAGUGGGGAAUCUUGGACAAUGGGGGCAACCCGUGAUCCAGCCAUGCCGCGUGAGUGAUGAAAGGGCCUUAGGGUCGUAAAGCUCUUUCGCCUGUGAAGAUAAUGACGGGUAGCAGGUAAAGAAACCCCGCGUACAUCCGUGCCAGCAGCCGCGGUAAUACGGAGGGGGUUAGCGUUGUUCGGAAUUACUGGGCGU